UGCUCAAACAUACUGAGACAAGUGUUACC
rnacentral:piRNA from 1 species